UGUGUGUGUGUGUGUGUGUGUGUGUGUGUGUGUGUGUGUGUGUGUGUGUGUGUGUGUGUGUGUGUGUGUGUGUGUGUGGUUUAUUAUUAUAGCUGCAGAAUGUAAACACUGUGCCUUACAGCUCGCUCAUUCCCCGUGUUAUAGUUCUGUAAAAGGAAAAGCGGAAAUUAUCACUCAAUCAGUGUGUGAAAGAAAAGACACAAAACUGUGAUUUAAAAUCAAAAAAGAUUUUUGAUAAAUUAAGAAAUAGAUAAACAUAUAAUACAGUAAAUGAUUAAGAACGCCUUCCUGCUCUGAAUGUGCUACUGGAGGGAGAUAUGGUGUGUGUGUGUGUGUGUGUGUGUGUGUGUGUGUGUGUGUGUGUGUGUGUGUGAACCUGGACAUGAGGUGUGGCUCUGCUGCUGAAUUUCUUCAAAUGCUGGAAACUAAAUAGUGUUAAUGUGUAAUAAAAACUGACAUCAAACAA